rnacentral:rRNA from 1 species
AGCAGCCGCGGUAAUUCCAGCUCCAAUAGCGUAUAUUAAAGUUGUUGCAGUUAAAAAGCUCGUAGUUGAAUUUCGGGAUUAGUAGGUUGGUCGUGCCUCUGGUAUGUACUCGCCUUACUGGUUCCUCCUUCUUGAAGAACUGUAAUGCCAUUAAUUUGGUGUUGCAGGGACACAGGACUGUUACUUUGAAAAAAUUAGAGUGUUUAAAGCAGGCCAUUGCCUGAAUACAUUAGCAUAGAAUAAUGAAAUAGGACGUUGAUCCUAUUUUGUUGGUUUCUAGGAUUGACGUAAUGAUUAAUAGGGAUAGUUGGGGGCAUUAGUAUUCAAUUGUCAGAGGUGAAAUUCUUGGAUUUAUUGAAGACUAACUUCUGCGAAAGCAUUUGCCAAGGAUGUUUUCAUUAAUCAAGAACGAAAGUUAGGGGAUCGAAGACGGUCAGAUACCGUCGUAGUCUUAACCAUAAACUAUGCCGACUAGGGAUCGGACGAUGUUAAUUUUAUAAUGACUCGUUCGGCGCCUUACGG